GUUAAAUUAAAAAGUUGUGACUUUUUUAUUCAUUUUGCCAGAAUGCAGCUCACACGCAAGUAUGGCAUUUUUAAGAGAUUUUUUCCAGACUUCAGUACAUGCUCAGAAAGAAAAAAGGACAACCCAGAGUAGAUGGGAAACAAUCUGCCAAAACAAUGAUUACAUGGUGUCUUUUCAUGCAAGAGAAAAUGAAGGGUUUAGAUUUCUAGGGCAAAGAAAGAAAACAUACAUUUGUGCAGUUUCUCAGCUGCUUUAAAUAGAUUCAGCUUCACUCGGUAGCACAAGCAGGGCCCGCAUUUCAUUUCAUUUCAUUUCAUUUCAUUUCAUUAUUCAUGUUACAGUGGCACUAUGCAGACAGAAUACAGAGGUAGAAGAUGUGCAGUUAUGGGGGACCUUGUCUCACAGCUUCUCACAGACCACAAAGGCUAUCCAUGACUGAGCAGAGAGGCAGCAAGAGGCACUUGGUGCCAGUGUUGUAAAACAGUGAAAAUUUACACAUCACCGAGCUCUGGUGAGCAUUCGGAGGUCACUGCGGAGGGGAAGGGUGGAAGCAGCAAUCAACAUAAGCAUGAAAGCACUGGGCUAUGAUUCUUUAAGUAGCAAAAUUCUGGAUGAAUUUUCUUUAGACACCACUUUCAGUGUUAAGAUCUCCAGAGCCCCUGAGGCUGUACCUCUGUACGUGCACAGAACAGGCCUCCUCCAUGCAUGUCCAGAGCUGCCUCUGUCCUGACAGCAGCAAGCAGCUCCAAGCCAGUGACUCCUGAGCUUUUCCUGUACUGUGGCUCAGUUUCAGUGGGGUGGUGGGGUGGGUGGAAAGUUUUAUUGCUACCCUGCUGGCUGAUACGACGGAUGAUCUUCUGAGAGCAGUGGGUUUUAGCUCCUCAGGCUACAAAGAAGUUGUCAUCUGUGGAAGGCCAUAUCGACCAUGUUCAAGCAGAGAAGUGGAUACACAAGGACUGCUACAACAGGAAGAACCAGAAACAUGGCACAAAAGACUGAAGAUAACCUGCAGCAGAAGGAGGAGUGUUUGGCACUGCAGCACAGGAAUGACCUGAUGAUAAGGCACUUGGCUGACAAGUCACUUUUCUGUAAAUCAGAUCAAAAUAGCACUGAAUUCAGUGAGGGUCUUCCUAUCAGUCUAAGACAGCUUGGAUCAGGCCUGUCGUACACAUCUGGAUGCAGUUUGUUCAUAUCUGCUUGGGCUAUCCCACCUUUUAUCCAGUAUCACCUUUUGAAGUGGUUAAGGAAAGUAUAAAUCUUACAUUUAAUGCUCUUCUCUUUGAUUAUUCUUUGACAAUAACGAGAUUAAUAUGUGACUUUCUCAUCUGUGUUAUUUAUUCUCACAGUAAAUUUAGGUUCAGAUUUUUUUUCCCUGUUGUCAGUAUACUAACCUCAAAAAAUGUGCAAUACUGAAUGUACAAGUUGUCUUUGUUUUGUUUUAAGUAGAACUGCACAUUUUUUGCAUGGGCUUGACAUACUAGCUCACGAUAUGUUUUACCACUACUGUUUUAGUAGAAAAGUUGCCAUUAACUGUGAAGAGUAAUAUCUUGGAGAACUUCUCUCCAUAACUGAUACAGAGAAUUCUAGCAGAAAAAUCUAAUUUGAAAUGUUUCCAACUAUUAUAGGAGAAGUUAGGCUGUAUUUGGUAAAUUCCAAUGUUUCAUUUCUUCACUGUAUCACAUAGAAAAUCAAACAAUUAUUAAAAACAAACAAAAAAAAACCCCUCCAUCUAUAUUCAUAGUCUAUGAGAAAUUUUUGUUCUCGGUAGUGCACAGUUAUAGGUUACAAGAGGAGCAGAAGUUAUGUGCUUUAAAUGAUUGGAAAUUCCUUAGAUUUCAAAGCUGGAACCACUUAGAAGUGGCUACUCAAAUGUGUCAUGGGAGAGAUAAUAACUUCACUCUUUUCCUUAAAAAUACGUCCAUAAAUAAUAUCAAAACACUUUUAUUUCAUUGAAAUAUAACCUGUUUCUGUAAUGUUAGCUUUACUUAGGAAACAAUUUACUGAAGAAUUCGCAAGCCCUAUUUUCAGUUUUUACACAAAUGGUUUUGAGUACAUCUUGAAAUAAGGUACAAUUUCAUCUUUAUGUAGAAGAUUUAAAUAACAAUCACAAUGGCAUCAAUUUAUAUUAUUGUAUUUCCAAUGCAAUAUUGACUUGUUUUUUGAGGCAGACAUUGCAUAUAAUUAUGUAUUAUUCUUUGAUAGUACAUACUAGUAAAGAAUUUUCAAGAGUGUAUAGACUUGGCAUGCUAAAAAAGAACAUUUCGAACAUGAUUGCUUUGAAUUGGAAGCAUUUCAAAUCUUGAGGUUUUUCUAUAUUUGCAAGAAAAAAUUAGAAGCAGUUCUUCACAAAAACGUUGGUUUGACAGUAGACAUGUUCUUACCUGUAAGAAAACUAGAUUGUUUUUGCAAUAUGCUAGUCAUCCGUCUAGAAUUGUUGUGAAACAGAAUUGUUCUAAGUGCUCCCACAUCAUUUUUUCCCUGCACUUUUGGAAGUAAUUUGGCUGUGUACAGUAAGUUGCAAUCUAUUUUAUUUAAAGCUACAUAAAGAAAGAACUUUUGUAAUUAGAAAAGCUUUUAUUUAUUGUAAAUCAAGGCUGCUGUCUUUGGUACACUAAAUAAUUGUCCAAUACAUGUCACACUAAUAUGACAACUUCAAUCUUUAUUAUUUUUGUACUGUAAGAAUAGAAGUAAAUGCAAUUUCUUUGCAGCAUCAAAUUUAUUCCUUGAUUUUGUAUCUCUUACUUACAAAUAAAUUACACAGGAGUUGCUGUU